UGCUGUCCUUCAAUGCUUGUGUCAGCCUCAUUUAAUGACUCCCGAGUGGGUGUUUGGGAAGCCGCCAAAUGGGUGGCCAAGAUACGAGACACUGCAUGUUCAAGUUGUUCUUCUUCAGUCAUCCUGCAGACCAAUAUGAGUGGGGGACAUUUUCGUGAAGGCGGCCGUUUUGCUCAAUGUUUGGAGACAGCUUACGAGUAUGCUUUUCUGAUGAAAAUUAUGCAAAAAUAAUGAAAAUGGAGAAGAAACUGGCAGAAAGGAACUUCAAUAGUUUUUGACCAAAUUACGUGAUGCGUGUUGAAUCUUCCAUCUGAAUGCUUCGUGCAUAGACUAACGGUGGCAGGUCCAAUACCUGGUUGUCAAACAAUCUUCAUUUACUUUAUUUCUCAGAAGGAAGAUUUGUUGAUCGGAUCAAAGAAGUGGUUAUCUAUUCUAUCUGUGCAAGUGUAACAUCGAGAAAAAGACAAUCAAAGAGGAGUAGAGUUUUGAAUUGGCUGAACAAAUCUUCUCUCGUGUUAGUGCAGGUUGAUCGGAAUUCAUUGGUUAGCUGCAUGUUACUGUAGAUUAGCUUCUUUUUAGGUGACAGUGGAAAGCCUUGAAGAUAUAUCCUUUUCUUUUAAGAUUUAGCUUAAAAUUAUCUCAUAUCACAGUAUUAUGUGUAAAACAGUAGAAAUGGCACAAAAUUUGUGUAACAUGUGUUUGCUGAGAACCAUGAAUCAAUAUCCAUAUUUUUCCUUGUGAUUGUAAGAGAAGUGGAGUUUGGCAUGGCCCAACACACCCAUCUAUGCCAUGCUAUGGCCAAAGCCCAAAGACGAUGGCAUGGUGCGACCCAGCAUUGGAUGGGCUUAUGGGCCAAGCCGACCUAUAAAACUACUUUACACCCAUACACAACAAAUUUUAGUAUUUUGCUAAAUACAACUUUUUCUAGCUUUAUUGAGAGCUCUUUUGACACGAUUUUUGUUUUUGCUAUCUGUAAAAGACUGGUGAAGAAAUUACAGGCUCAUUUGGCAUGACUUUUGAAAAGUUAAAAUGAACAAAACAAAUUUCAAAACAACUUUUGGAUUUCAAAAGUUUAUUUUGACUUUUCAAAAGUCAUGCCAAACGGACCUGAGAAAUCAUUCAAAUGUCUCUCUCUAUAUAUAUAUCAAUCUAACCGCACUUUAUGUGCACUAGAGAAAUGCUUUGCUGCAGAAACCAUGGCUUCCUCUGGGCCUUUAGCUUUCGAAGCUUUUACAUUUUCGCCUUUACUGGAUAUACACAAGAACGAAGCCAAAGAUUUCAAGAUUUUGGAGUACCAAUUAUUUCCCUUGUGUUUACUCAUCUUAACAAGCUCUAGUAAGCUGCAACCUUAGCACAUCCAAAACGGGAUUAAUCCUUUUGGAUUAACAAAAUGAA